rnacentral:rRNA from 1 species
UGGGGAAUAUUGCACAAUGGGCGCAAGCCUGAUGCAGCCAUGCCGCGUGUGUGAAGAAGGCCUUCGGGUUGUAAAGCACUUUCAGCGGGGAGGAAGGCGAUAAGGUUAAUAACCUCAUCGAUUGACGUUACCCGCAGAUGAAGCACCGGCUAACCCCGUGCCAGCAGCCGCGGUAAUUCGGAGGGUGCAAGCGUUAAUCGGAAUUACUGGGCGUAAAGCGCACGCAGGCGGUCUGUCAAGUCGGAUGUGAAAUCCCCGGGCUCAACCUGGGAACUGCAUUCGAAACUGGCAGGCUAGAGUCUUGUAGAGGGGGGUAGAAUUCCAGGUGUAGCGGUGAAAUGCGUAGAGAUCUGGAGGAAUACCGGUGGCGAAGGCGGCCCCCUGGACAAAGACUGUCGCUCAGGUGCGAAAGCGUGGGGAGCAAACAGG